ACGAACGCUGGCGGCGUGCCUAAUACAUGCCAGUCGAGCGGACGAAUCGAAAGCUUGCUUUUGAUUCGUUAGCGGCGGACGGGUGAGUAACACGUGGGCAACCUGCCCUGUAGACGGGGAUAACACCGAGAAAUCGGUGCUAAUACCGGAUAACACGAAAUGUCGCAUGACGUUUCGUUGAAAGACGGCGCAAGCUGUCGCUACAGGAUGGGCCCGCGGCGCAUUAGCUAGUUGGUGAGGUAACGGCUCACCAAGGCGACGAUGCGUAGCCGACCUGAGAGGGUGAUCGGCCACACUGGGACUGAGACACGGCCCAGACUCCGACGGGAGGCAGCAGUAGGGAAUCUUCCGCAAUGGACGAAAGUCUGACGGAGCAACGCCGCGUGAGCGAAGAAGGCCUUCGGGUCGUAAAGCUCUGUUGUUAGGGAAGAACAAGUAACGCAGUAACUGGCGUUACCGUGACGGUACCUAACGAGAAAGCCACGGCUAACUACGU
rnacentral:rRNA from 1 species